ACGAUUAGCCCCAUUUCACAGAUGAGGAAACUCAGGCUCAAAGGAAAUUGAUUGCUUGCCCUGGGUCUCACUGCCGGAAGGAGGCAGAGUUGAAACUUGACCCCAAGUGCGGCUGAUUCUAAAGCCUGUGACUCUUUUGUUUUUGUUUUUGUUUUUGUUUUAAAGACGGAGUCUUGCUGUGUUGCCCAGGCUGGAGUGCAGUGGCAUGAUCUCUGUUCACUUCAACCUCCGCCUCCUGAGUUCAAGCGAUUCUCCUGCCUCAGCUUCCAAAGCAGCUGAACUACAGCAGGGAUGACGGCGCUCCUGGAGGCUGGCUGGGAAGCUGGUCAGGGUCCCAGGACUCUGACACCCCCAAUGGCCCUUGUAGCCUUGGGGAGUCCUGUGAUCCAAGGCUGGAGGACUGAGUCCCCUCCAGGUCUCAUAGCAGACGAAUAGCAGCUUCACCCAGGCCUGUUUUGUCGUGGCCCCAUUCAGAGGCCGCCCUCCUCUGUGGUUUAGAGCGUGCCCUGGAAUCCCUAGCACAGCCAGGUGACGAGAGUUCCCCGCUG
rnacentral:sRNA from 1 species